rnacentral:rRNA from 1 species
AUACGUAGGUGGCAAGCGUUGUCCGGAUUUACUGGGUUUAAAGGGUGCGUAGGCGGUUUGCUAAGCGGGAGGUGAAAUGCCGGCGCUCAACGUCGGAAGUGCCUCCCGAACUGGUGGACUUGAAUGACUCUGCCGUGGGAGGAAUGUGUAGUGUAGCGGUGAAAUGCUUAGAGAUUACACAGAACACCGAUUGCGAAGGCAUCUCACGAAGGGUUGAUUGACGCUGAGGAACGAAAGCGUGGGGAUCAAACAGGAUUAGAUACCCUGGUAGUCCACGCAGUAAACGAUGAUGGCUAACCGCUGGGCUUAUCAGUUUAGUGGCCAAGCGAAAGCGAUAAGCCAUCCACCUGGGGAGUACGACCGCAAGGUUGAAACUCAAAUGAAUUGGCGGGG